rnacentral:tRNA from 1 species
GGUGGCUCAAUGGUAGAGCGCUUGCCUUGCAUGCAUGAUGAGACCCUGGGUUCAAUUCCUUAGUACCA